rnacentral:tRNA from 1 species
GCCGGGGUGCCCGAGCGGUAUAGGGGGCCGGCUGCAGACCGGUUGUACCGGGGUUCGAAUCCCCGCCCCGGCUCCA